UACGAAGGGGGCUAGCGUUGCUCGGAAUUACUGGGCGUAAAGGGCGCGUAGGCGGCCUGCUAAGUCGAACGUGAAAUCCCCGAGCUCAACUCGGGAACUGCGUCCGAUACUGGCAGGCUUGAAUCCGGGAGAGGGAUGCGGAAUUCCAGGUGUAGCGGUGAAAUGCGUAGAUAUCUGGAGGAACACCGGUGGCGAAGGCGGCAUCCUGGACCGGCAUUGACGCUGAGGCGCGAAAGCCAGGGGAGCAAACGGG
rnacentral:rRNA from 1 species